AUUGAACGCUGGCGGCAGGCUUAACACAUGCAAGUCGAGCGGGGAAAGGUAGCUUGCUACCUGACCUAGCGGCGGACGGGUGAGUAAUGCUUAGGAAUCUGCCUAUUAGUGGGGGACAACAUUCCGAAAGGAAUGCUAAUACCGCAUACGCCCUACGGGGGAAAGCAGGGGAUCUUCGGACCUUGCGCUAAUAGAUGAGCCUAAGUCAGAUUAGCUAGUUGGUGGGGUAAAGGCCUACCAAGGCGACGAUCUGUAGCGGGUCUGAGAGGGUGAUCCGCCACACUGGGACUGAAACACGGCCCAGACUCCUACGGGAGGCAGCAGUGGGGAAUAUUGGACAAUGGGCGAAAGCCUGAUCCAGCCAUGCCGCGUGUGUGAAGAAGGCCUUUUGGUUGUAAAGCACUUUAAGCGAGGAGGAGGCUACUUGGAUUAAUACUCUAGGAUAGUGGACGUUACUCGCAGAAUAAGCACCGGCUAACUCUGUGCCAGCCGCCGCCGUAACAC
rnacentral:rRNA from 1 species